CAGGCCCUGAAUCAAGGCCUCCAGCUCGCCAUAGCUGCUGGCUUCAAACAGGAGCCCAGAGGGAAGCCUUCCCGUGGUCUGUCGGCUUCUCUGGAGCCUCCGAUGGGAGCAGCCGAUUCAGUUGGAAGCAACACAG
rfam:Alligator mississippiensis ScZkoYb_6524, whole genome shotgun sequence.